rnacentral:rRNA from 1 species
UACAGAGGUCUCAAGCGUUGUUCGGAUUUACUGGGCGUAAAGGGCGCGUAGGCGGCCACCGCAAGUCAGUUGUGAAAUCUCUGGGCUUAACCCAGAAAGGUCAACUGAUACUGCGGGGCUAGAGUGCAGAAGGGGCGACUGGAAUUCUCGGUGUAGCGGUGAAAUGCGUAGAUAUCGAGAGGAACACCUGCGGCGAAGGCGGGUUGCUGGGCUGACACUGACGCUGAUGCGCGAAAGCUAGGGGAGCGAACGGG